CCCAUCUGCUCACCCCAUUACGCCCUCAUCCAUCCUCCACCUGUCCAUCUACUAAUCACAUGACCAUCUCAGCAAGCGCCCUCACAUGCACUUGCUGACUCCCCUGUCGACGCUCCAUUCAUUCAUCCGCUCUUCUUGCCCUCAUUCAUUCCUCUCUCCUUAGCGUGAGUGGGCGUGGGCACCACACAGUCUCUUGCCCAUAAAGCCCUGUGGGGGGCAUUGCCCGGCUCCAGCAAGCUCCCACCUUCCCUUUUUUCUUUGGCAGAAAGAGUGAUCCCUGCUUUCCUCCAGGCUUACCGCAACUGCAGUGUACUCCCUAGCCUCCCCCUUCUACUCAUGGUGUCAAAAGCAGCCCGUUUAUGUUCUUUAAGGAUGUCCACUGCGCCUGACUGCAAGGAGCAGCACGCGGUUCUGCAGCAUCCCCCGGGCCUGGCCGGGUGGGGACACGGGGGUCAGCGAGAUCCAAGCAGACCCCAGAAUCCCGGGGACUCAAAACUGGCAUCCUAGACCCGGGAACUCGGGCCCUGCAAGAUGAGGAUGACCGGACUUUCCAGCUGGAAGGAACCAAAGAUCGCUGUGGUCACUUUGGGUUCACCCACUGGCCAGCCCUCCCGGUCUUUUGUCAAAGGCCCCUCACUUUUCCUGGAGGAGUUUCCCCUGACCCGUCUCUCAGUCUUGUGCUUUGACGGGGGCUCUCCCACUGUCUGAUGCAGGGGUAAGGGUGCAGUCCAGGCUUGGCUACAGAGAUGGAGUUAGGUAUGUGCACCUACCCAAAAACUGUUACCAAAGAACCCAGUCCCGGAACUUACCCUGGAACAAUCUGGAAAAAUAUAUUCUCUCACCUCACGGGGUUUGCUAAAUGGAUAGAGCGAAGCCGGCAUAGGACACUUCAACUAAGCAACAGACAGUGGCAAAUUUCUGAUGACAUCUUGUGUGCUCCUGGAUCCAACUGUACCUGAAACCCUUGAACUUUCCAGUGACUAAAAUAAUAAACACCUUUUCUGUUUAA